AGUGAACGCUGGCGGUAGGCCUAACACAUGCAAGUCGAACGGCAGCAUAGUAAGAGCUUGCUCUUACGGGUGGCGAGUGGCGGACGGGUGAGGAAUACAUCGGAAUCUACUUUUUCGUGGGGGAUAACGUAGGGAAACUUACGCUAAUACCGCAUACGACCUACGGGUGAAAGCAAGAGAUCUUCGGACCUUGCGCGAUUGAAUGAGCCGAUGUCGGAUUAGCUAGUUGGCGGGGUAAAGGCCCACCAAGGCGACGAUCCGUAGCUGGUCUGAGAGGAUGAUCAGCCACACUGGAACUGAGACACGGUCCAGACUCCUACGGGAGGCAGCAGUGGGGAAUAUUGGACAAUGGGCGCAAGCCUGAUCCAGCCAUGCCGCGUGGGUGAAGAAGGCCUUCGGGUUGUAAAGCCCUUUUGUUGGGAAAGAAAAGCAGCAGGUUAAUCCCCCGCUGUUCUGACGGUACCCAAAGAAUAAGCACCGGCUAACUUCGUG
rnacentral:rRNA from 1 species